UGCGAGAGAGCUGUAGUAGAAAAACCCUUUUAUGUUUAUUUCAUUUGCGCAAAUAAUAUCAAGUGUUCCCCAACCCCCACCCCCACCCUCGUUUCCCCAGACUGGUUUCCCUCUACUUCUUGGACCUUUUGAAGAUGCAAACACAGAGUAAGGUUCGUCUAUUAAAAGUUUGUCAUCAGCAUAUGAGGUUUUGUUUUCCAAAUGCUGCUCGCUUCCUGUGUGGAGAGAUAAGCAGGCAAUCUUACUGUGUUUGCGCUCACAGCCCCCAUUGGGGAGAAAAAUCUCAUAACUGGGGAAAUUCCUCCACCUCCACAGAGCGUUUUCGGAACCCGACAGAUCCUGCCGGAAUCACGGACACUGGCCGGCAAGGUAUGUCGACCUUCUUACUCACAGCUAUGUUCGUUAUUUCAUUUCAAAGUGACCAAGGCCCAGGAACCGGGAACAAACAGGCGUGUGAAACCUCGAACAAGCAGACCCAAAAGAAAAGUGAAGGGCCACAUCUGGACUCUCUCUAGACUUGGUUAUUUUAGUUUCCCUGGAGGUGUGCUACACUGGGAAGGAUGAAAACAAAGAAGCAUCCAAACAAGGAGCAAGGCUAAUGCAAAUUAUAGGGAGAAGAAAAAAAUAAAAGAAGAGAAUAAUUUGAAGAAAUUUUCCUCGAUUUUGAGGAGCUUGAAAAUAAGUGAAAUUAGAGCUGCAUCAAGGGGAAGUCUCCACUUGUCCUUGUCCGGCGCUCAUCCGUCAGAGAUAGUUACCAUG
rnacentral:lncRNA from 1 species